UACACAGGGUGCGAGCGUUGUCCGGAAUCACUGGGCGUAAAGGGCGCGUAGGUGGCUGGGUAAGUGUGCGGUGAAAGCCCGGGGCUCAACCCCGGGUCGGCCGUGCAGACUGCUUGGCUUGAGCAUAGUAGAGGCAGGUGGAAUUCCGGGUGUAGCGGUGGAAUGCGUAGAGAUCCGGAAGAACACCGGUGGCGAAGGCGGCCUGCUGGGCUAUUGCUGACACUGAGGCGCGACAGCGUGGGGAGCAAACAGG
rnacentral:rRNA from 1 species